GGGUUUGGGCGGCCGGCGGAGACGCGCGGGUGGCCGGCGAUGGCCGCGGAGGAGAGGACGCGGCGUCCGGGCCCAGCCCGCGACGGAGGCCCGCUCGAGGCGAGCGCCUUGCCGUGGCUGCCUCGCACCUGUCUGCAGCCUCAGGCAGGAGGUGACAUGCUGGAUCAGCGCUGCCCGGGAGAAAUGAAAGCAAGCCACAAAUGUGUAUUUAUUCAUCUGAAAGGCAGACGUGACCCUGAACAUGAAAGGAAGAGGCAGCGCUUCCAUCCACUACCAGUGGCCACAUCCCAGUGGAAGUCAGGAGCCUGCAGCUCCAUCCUGGUCUC